GUUUUGAAGGUUCAUCCAAGUUGUAACAUGUAUCGGAACUUCUUUCAUUUUUAUGGCUGAAUAAUAAUCGCAUUGUAUGAAAACCAUAUUUUUGUAAAUUGUUCUUGUAUACUGUGACCUAACUGAACUAAUUUAUUAGUCCUAUUAGAUUUGGGGGGUGGUAAUGCAGGGAAUGUAAAUUUUCUGGAUUUUCUUUACAUCAUGGUAUCUGUGAAUAAAGACAUUUUUAUUUCUUCCUCUUCAAUUUGAAUGCCUCUCUUUGUCUUGUUGCACUAGCUCCAAUACAAUGCUGAAUAGAAGUGGCAAGAGUGGACAUCCUUACCUUGUUCUAAAUCUUAAGGGGAAGAUGAAGAGUUGUUUUUCUAAUGUUGAACCAGCCGUGCAAUCCUGGGAUAAAUCCUAUUUACUCACUUGGUCAGGGUUUUAGCAUCAAGACUCUGCUGACCUUAUUAUGAACUGAAUUGAGAAGUAUUCCUUAUACUUUUUGGAAAAAAGUUUGCAUCAUUGUUAUUUCUUCCACAAAUGGAUGAGAGAAUUCACCUGGGCCUAGAGCUUUCUCUGUGUGAGAACUGUUUCAUUUAAUUUCUUGAAUAAUUUUACAAUAAUCCACAAAUAUAAUAACCUUAUAAAAGUAUAAUUCCACUUAUAGUCACCCAUUAUUUGAGCUAUAUUUACUUCUACAAGUAUAAACUCCCUCUUUAUACAUUUUAGACACAUUUCAGACACACACUUUAUAUAUCAUAUACAUAUUAAAUACAAGCAUAUAUUUUGCUUUAAUCAGUCAGUUGUCCUUUAAAGAAAUCAGAUAAAAAAUAUAGACUUUUAUAUUCACCCAUUAAUUAAUUUCUGGUUCUCUUCUCUUCCUCUACCCUGAACUCUCGUCUCUGCUCCUCAGCACAGUGGGACCACCAUUGCUUUGCUUGGACUCUAGUUCACUCUUACACAGUCAGAAAAUUGUCCCCAGGCAGGGAGACAGAGACAACAGGAGGGGAUCUGUACAGGAGGAAGGCCUGGUGUGCGAUAGGAGCCCAAGAAAGGUAAGAGAGUGCCUAAGCAGUUUUUAUGACCUUAAGCAGCAAGAGAGGAGUGCUUCAGUUACUCUGGCAGUGUAACAAAUUACUGCAAAACUUAAUAGCUUAAAACAACAAUAAUCAUGUAUUAUCUCUCCGGGUUUAUGUGGGUCAGGAAUUUAUAUAGAGGCACAGCAGGAAUGGCUUAUCUCUGCUCCACAAUAUCUGAGGCCUUAGUCAGAAGACUCAAAGGCUGGGAGCUGAAAACAUCUUAAUGCUCAUUUACUCACAUGUCUGGCAGCUGAUGCUGGCUUUCAACUGGGGCUUUAAUUCCUCUCUACAUGAGCCUUUUCAUGUGGUCUGAACUUCCUCGCAAUAUGAUGGCUGGAUUCUGAGGUCCACCAUUCAGAUGAGAGAGAUGGAAAGAGCCAGCCAGAAGCUGUGUUGCUUUCUAACCUAGAAAGUCAUGCAGCAAGGCUGGGUGCAGUGGCGCAUGCCUGUAAUCCUAACACUUUGGGAGGCCAAGGUGGGCAGAUC
rnacentral:lncRNA from 1 species